rnacentral:rRNA from 1 species
GAUGAACGCUGGCGGCGUGCUUAACACAUGCAAGUCGAACGAUGAAGCCCAGCUUGCUGGGUGGAUUAGUGGCGAACGGGUGAGUAACACGUGAGUAACCUGCCCUUAACUCUGGGAUAAGCCUGGGAAACUGGGUCUAAUACCGGAUAGGAGCGCCUACCGCAUGGUGGGGGUUGGAAAAAUUUAGCGGUUUUGCCUGGCUCCGGGGCCCAUCAGCUUGUUGGGGUGGUAAUGGCUAACAAAGGCGCAGCCGGGUAGCCGGCAUGGGAGUGUGACCGGCCACACUGGGACUGAGACACGGCCCAGACUCCUACGGGAGGCAGCGGGGGGGAAUAUUGCACAAUGGGCGAAAGCCUGAUGCAGCGACGCCGCGUGAGGGAUGACGGCCUUCGGGUUGUAAACCUCUUUCAGUAGGGAAGAAGCGAAAGUGACGGUACCUGCAGAAGAAGCACCGGCUAACUACGUG